rnacentral:sRNA from 1 species
AACCGUGGAACCUCUGGAGUAUUACAGGAGAUUUCUGAAAGAGAACUGCCGUCCUGAUGGAAGAGAACUUGGUGAAUUCAGAACCACAACUGUCAACGUAGGUUCAAUUAGUACCGCAGAUGGUUCUGCUUUAGUGAAGUUGGGAAAUACUACAGUAAUCUGUGGAGUUAAAGCAAUGAGGUUCAGUAACUAGUCCAGGAAUUUGCAG